UACGGGGGGGGGCAAGCGUUGUUCGGAAUUACUGGGCGUAAAGGGCUCGUAGGCGGCCAACUAAGUCAGACGUGAAAUCCCUCGGCUUAACCGGGGAACUGCGUCUGAUACUGGAUGGCUUGAAUCCGGGAGAGGGAUGCGGAAUUCCAGGUGUAGCGGUGAAAUGCGUAGAUAUCGGGAGGAACACCUGUGGCGAAAGCGGCUCACUGGACCACAACUGACGCUGAUGCGCGAAAGCUAGGGGAGCAAACAGG
rnacentral:rRNA from 1 species